rnacentral:rRNA from 1 species
GAUGAACGCUGGCGGCGUGCUUAACACAUGCAAGUCGAACGUGAGAGAGUAGCAAUAUUCUUGAAAGUGGCGCACGGGUGAGUAAUACGUAGGUAACCUGCCCUGGAGUGGGGGAUAACAACUGGAAACGGUUGCUAACACCGCAUAAUACCGGAUGUCUGGGAAGACGUCUGGUAAAAACUCUGGUGCUUCAGGAGGGGCCUGCGGCCGAUUAGCUAGUUGGCGGGGUAAGAGCCCACCAAGGCAUUGAUCGGUAGCUGGUCUGAGAGGACGAUCAGCCACACGGGAACUGAGACACGGUCCCGACUCCUACGGGGGGCAGCAGUGAGGAAUAUUGGGCAAUGGGCGAAAGCCUGACCCAGCAACGCCGCGUGGAGGAAGACGGCCUUCGGGUUGUAAACUCCUUUUACGGGGGAAGAGGAAGGACGGUACCCCGAGAAUAAGUCACGGCCAACUACGUGCCAGCCGCCGCAGUAAUAC